AGCGAACGCUGGCGGCAGGCCUAACACAUGCAAGUCGAACGGAUCCUUCGGGAUUAGUGGCGGACGGGUGAGUAACACGUGGGAACGUGCCAUUAGGUUCGGAACAACUCAGGGAAACUUGAGCUAAUACCGGAUGUGCCCUUAGGGGGAAAGAUUUAUCGCCUUUAGAGCGGCCCGCGUCUGAUUAGCUAGUUGGUGAGGUAAAGGCUCACCAAGGCGACGAUCAGUAGCUGGUCUGAGAGGAUGACCAGCCACAUUGGGACUGAGACACGGCCCAAACUCCUACGGGAGGCAGCAGUGGCGAAUCUUGCGCAAUGGGCGAAAGCCUGACGCAGCCAUGCCGCGUGUAUGAUGAAGGUCUUAGGAUUGUAAAAUACUUUCACCGGUGAAGAUAAUGACUGUAGCCGGAGAAGAAGCCCCGGCUAACUUCGUGCCAGCAGCCGCCGCAG
rnacentral:rRNA from 1 species